rnacentral:rRNA from 1 species
AGAGCGAACGCUGGCGGCAGGCCUAACACAUGCAAGUCGAGCGCUCGUAGCAAUACGAGAGCGGCAGACGGGAGAGUAACACGUGGGAACGUACCCUUUGGUUCGGAACAACACAGGGAAACUUGUGCUAAUACCGAAUAAGCCCUUACGGGGAAAGAUUUAUCGCCAAAGGAUCGGCCCGCGUCUGAUUAGCUAGUUGGUGGGGUAAUGGCUCACCAAGGCGACGAUCAGUAGCUGGUCUGAGAGGAUGACCAGCCUCAUUGGGACUGAGACACGGCCCAAACUCCUACGGGAGGCAGCAGUGGGGAAUAUUGGACAAUGGGCGCAAGCCUGAUCCAGCCAUGCCGCGUGGAUAAUGAAGGCCUUAGGGUUGUAAAGUCCUUUUAACGGGGAAGAUAAUGACGGUACCCGUAGAAUAAGCCCCGGCUAACUUCGCGCCAGUAGCCGC